GAAUCCCAGGGCAGUAAGAAACAAAGCAGGUAUGUGAGUGCUUUAUGAAACCAUGCUACCAGGAGUUCUUCAGCCAGUGCAUUCCCCAGGGAACCACAACGUGCAGCUGGAACAGCAAAACACUGGGCUCGAAAGCUCUGCUGACUUUUAUUGGGAUGUCUCCAGCUGUCUAGUGAAGAAGUCAGAGCUCCAGCUGUUUCCUCCACAUCUGGGCUCUCUGGUGCUGCUGGCUGCUGUUUGUGAGGUCCCAGGUGGAGGCAGGAAUGGAGGUGGAGCAGAGCAGCACUCUGAGGAGGAUAAGGAGCUGUGGCCAAAGCCUUGAGCCUUGGUAACCUGGAGCUGGAGCCCAUCCCUCCAGAAGAGAAAUUCACUCCUUGCUUUGAAGAGAGAGUGCUGAGGCAUCCGCUGCAUUCCUUCCUGACGUGUUCCAGUGCUUGGCUGCCCUCAUUCCAAACCAGAUGUCUCCUCUCUGAUGUGAAUGCUGCUGACUGCAGAUUCCUGCCAUUGGGCCUUCUUCUGCCUGUUCCUGAUGGAGGUGAGGAGCUCCAGGUUGUUGGAUACCCAGG
rnacentral:lncRNA from 1 species